rnacentral:sRNA from 1 species
AUGCAUCCUUACUUGUCGCAGGUCACGAUGUAAUGUCCGUCGCAGCGCUGCGCCAGAGUUUCGUACAGUUAUGGUUGUGUGCGCAUGCCCAAGUUUCGCGUGUCUGUAAUCUCCGUCAAGAAAUAGUAUUAAGAGACCCUAGUGUCUCGUGGUGAUAGUGCUAGGAGCUGUCAUCUGAAAUGUGAUGAGUGUGUCGUGUCAUUUCUUCUCGAAGUAGUAUUGUCUGGAGUGUCAGUUUCGCUCUCGAGCUAAAGGAAGGAGAGAUAUUGAAUUCCGAACAGUGGUCGCGUUACUCAAGGCUGGCUGUGACGUUACACUUGUGGACAACGCAGGUCUGACCGCCGCGGAGCUCGCAGACAAAUGUGGCCAGACGGUAGCGGCCGCUGUUAUCAGAGGAGAGAUCACUGCUGAUCAGGCGCUGGCCGCAACCAACGGUCAAACAACUAACAAGUCUCGGUCCCCGCACCCAUCGUUUCCUCCUCCCCCGUCCUACCCACCAGACCACGCCGAGACCGGCACCAGCACAUACUCUCCAGGGUCGGUCUCGCCGCCCCUCCCACCCCCGCCCAUACCGGCGUCGCCAGCCAGCUCUACGCCCCAAACCAGCGGGUCCACAAUCUCCCCUCCCACCCCGCUGUCCGAAGCCGAGGACGAGAUCACGGUACUGGAGUCCAGCAGUGUCCGGCAGUACAGCAGACCGUCUGGUGGGGAGGUCGCUGCUGCCAAGGAAAAAGUGACCAGAACUG